CCCUUAGAUGUUCUGGGCCGCACGCGCGCUACAAUGAUGAAUUCAACGAGUUUAUAACCUUGGUUGAAAAGCCUGGGUAAUCUUUUGAACUUUCGUCGUGAUGGGGCUAGACCCUUGCAAUUAUUGGUCUCCAACGAGGAAUUCCUAGUAAACGCAAGUCAUCAGCUUGCAUUGAUUACGUCCCUGCCCUUUGUACACACCGCCCGUCGCACCUACCGAUUGAAUGGUCCGGUGAAAUCUUCGGAUUGAGACUUUGAUUUCUUCACGGAAAACGCUGUUUUAAGAAGUUGAUUAAACCUUACCAUUUAGAGGAAGGUGAAGUCGUAACA
rnacentral:rRNA from 1 species